CAUUGCCUCGCUGUCUCUCUGAAGAGCCAUGAAGGGAUCGCUGAGGUCAUAGCGCCCGUAUCGCUCCUGCACAAACACGUCUCGUUGCUGUGCCUAGGGUGGAGAUCAGAAGUUCAAAGGUCAGAGUACAGCUCAUGAUAAUAAAUCAACCUGCCAUACAGCUAUUUAUCCAGUUACAGCUCUUUCCUCAAAUGAUUUUUGCAGUUGCAGAAGAUGAAUGUAGUGGCAUUUUUGCACACUCGCACACUUUGGAGAAUGUGUGGAAUGUGUGAACAACUGAGAGCUGCUUGAGUUGGACCUUGACCACUUUCAAAGCUUCACUCCCUACCAAUUCCUCAUCGCCUGCUGAGGGACCACAAGGAAACAUGUGCCAGAAGUUUUGAACGUUUGCAUGCAGUGUGUGCAAAUGGGGUCACACUCGGAUGUGGACUUGCUAUCCUUCUCACACAGGAUCUCAGCAGGUAAUGAGAAAGAGGGGGGUGAAAAACAUUAUAGAAAAGAUGAAAAGCAGGAACUGGGAGAGAAGGAAAGAGCCGCGGGCUGUGAGACACACUGAAACGGAAAAGCAGGAUGGCCUUCUUCAUGAUGUCCACGCCAACAUCAGCAGGGAUCUCUGCUCUCAUUUAACAUAAACCAGGUGCUCAGGGACACACUGUACAUCCAAAUAAACCCACAGAGGAAUGAUCAGAUGCAGCCUGGGCUUUAUCAGGUCUUGUUUCACAAAUAAUAACCCUCUGAAUUACACACACACACACACACACACAUAUACACAAUACCACCCUGCCCCCAAAUCCCCAAAUGCACACACACUCCCAUCAGGCCUCCAUAGGCAGGUGUUAAACCUUCCCUUGGGGAGCGAGGGUCACCACCACAGAAAGGAGUACAAAAGGAGCAGCUGGUGAGGCUGGAACGUGUGUGUAUGUGUGUGUGUGUGUGUGUGUUGACCAAUUUGGCAUGGCAAUAUGGGCCGUCUAUAUUGAAUGAAUUGGCAGAUGCAAACACACAGAUGAGAUUACACACACACACACACACGCACACAGAGUCUUUAUGAUACAAUACGAGGAUAUAUAAAAUGCACUAUAAAACCUUGCAUUAAAGAAUUGCCAAAAUAACAAUGUAUAAACCAGAGUCAUCCAACGGCAGAAAUCUGGUGUAACAUGGCUAUUUUCGUGCAGAGAGUAUCAAAAUGCAUCACUUUUAGAACAAAAGCAGCUUGGUGCAUCUUGCCAACUACAAAAACAAACAUUUGAAUAACAAGGAAAAUACAACAAAUUUUUUUAAGUUGGCAUGAAUAGAUACAGAUAAUGGUAUCGGUUUAAUAUUGCACUCAUUUACUUGUAUUUGUAUAAACUAUAUCAACAUCUGAUACCACAUGAAACUACGCAUCACAAAGCGAGUGAGCGCUAUCAAGCUAAUUACCGCACGACACAAAAUGACAGCGAUCUGGACAUAUUUUAUAAUUAAUAACGGCGAUCAAAGCAAAGCAGACUGUAAACUGUGCUCUCUAAAAAUAUCAAGAGGAGGGACUACAACAUCUUCCUACAGCACAAGUAAUCUGAUAAAAAAUGGAAUUUCCCAAAUUUAUUGUGGCCUGCCUGUGUUCAGAAUUGAAUUUAUUUUUAUGAUGUCACACUCCACAGUAUUGGUUAAUGGCUCAUAUGAAAGUAUAAAAGUUAUCAUUUCCAUCGCCCUGCUCCCCAGCAGCUAAACACAGAGUCAGGAUACUCUAAACACAGAAACCCAACAGUGACCUGACUAAUCUUAUAACAGACUUGUGGCCAUAAAAUAAUUCACUUGUUUAUACUGACUGAAAAUGUCCGAUGAGUCUAUUUCCAUUUCACCUGCAGAAUGGAACGCCAGUGUACUACUAAAAAGGAUUCAAAAUAAAACCUGAAACAAUGACCUCACUGCGGUAUACAGCAGCAAUCAAUGCUGCAGCAAAACACUUUCUAGGUGAGAACAAAUGUCUACAGACUCACUGGGUGAGUGAAAAUAACAGCUCUUACCCAGCAGUUUGUUCUUGCUGAUCAGCCACUAUGGGACACUGAAAACAGGGGGUUCUGAUGCAAUGAAAACAAAAACACACUUUAUCUACAGCUGAGAAAAUCUUGCCUGCACCACUGCAACCCUACUCGAUCUAAGGUAACUAAUGUACAAAGCUAAUGCACAUAAAAGCAACCUAGCUAACGUUAUAAAGAAAGAGCCUAGUAGACUAAGCACAUGAACAUGCAUGUGUACACUUUUCAUGCCCACUUUUUAAACUGGGGGAACAUAAACAGAGCCAAAUAAAAUGUUCUGUGGUGUCUCUGAUUGAUUAGACCUAAGUAGAUUAGAUUUCGGUAUUAGUAUGCCUUUUUAAGUUUAAUAAAAUCAUUAGAAUUUCUUCAUGUCAUUAUUGUGUAUGCUAGUUGUGUAUUUAAGAAUUUAACCUGUUACUAUUUAACAGCAGAAUGCAAUAAUUGUCAACAAGUAGGGGUGGCUGUGGCUCAGGUGGUAGAGAGGGUUGUCCACUAAUCGUAAGGUUGGUGGUUCGAUUCCCAGCCCACAUGACUCCACAUGCCGAAUUGUCCUUGGGCAAGACACUGAACCCCAAGUUGCUCCUAAUGGCAAGCUAGCGCCUUGCAUGGCAGCUCUGCUACCAUUGG